rnacentral:rRNA from 1 species
AGUGGCGAACGGGUGAGUAAUAUAUCGGAACGUGCCCAGUAGUGGGGGAUAACUAGUCGAAAGAUUAGCUAAUACCGCAUACGCACUACGGUGGAAAGCGGGGGAUCGUAAGACCUCGCGCUAUUGGAGCGGCCGAUAUCUGAUUAGCUAGUUGGUGGGGUAAAAGCCUACCAAGGCGACGAUCAGUAGCUGGUCUGAGAGGACGACCAGCCACACUGGGACUGAGACACGGCCCAGACUCCUACGGGAGGCAGCAGUGGGGAAUUUUGGACAAUGGGGGCAACCCUGAUCCAGCCAUGCCACGUGUGUGAAGAAGGCCUUCGGGUUGUAAAGCACUUUUGUCAGGAACGAAACGGUCUGCACUAAUACUGCAGACUAAUGACGGUACCUGAAGAAUAAGCACCGGCUAACUACGUGCCAGCAGCCGCGGUAAUACGUAGGGUGCAAGCGUUAAUCGGAAUUACUGGGCGUAAAGCGUGCGCAGGCGGUUGUGUAAGACAGAUGUGAAAUCCCCGGGCUUAACCUGGGAACUGCAUUUGUGACUGCACGGCUAGAGUGUGUCAGAGGGGGGUAGAAUUCCACGUGUAGCAGUGAAAUGCGUAGAGAUGUGGAGGAAUACCGAUGGCGAAGGCAGCCCCCUGGGAUAACACUGACGCUCAUGCACGAAAGCGUGGGGAGCCAACAGGAUUAGAUACCCUGG